AUUGAACGCUGGCGGCAGGCUUAACACAUGCAAGUCGAGCGAGCGGCGGACGGGUGAGUAAUGUCUGGGAAACUGCCUGAUGGAGGGGGAUAACUACUGGAAACGGUAGCUAAUACCGCAUACCAUCAGAUGUGCCCAGAUGGGAUUAGCUAGUAGGUGGGGUAAUGGCUCACCUAGGCGACGAUCCCUAGCUGGUCUGAGAGGAUGAACAGCAACACUGGAACUGAGACCAGGGCCAGACUCCUACGGGAGGUAGCAGUGGGGAAUAGUACACCAUGGGCGCAAGCCUGAUGCAGCCAUGCCGCGUGGUUGAAGAAGGCAUUCGGGUUGUAAAGCACUGUCAGCGAGGAGGCGUUACUCGCAGAAGAAGCACCGGCUAACUCCGUGCCAGCAGCCGCGGUAAUUC
rnacentral:rRNA from 1 species